CACUGUGAGGUGGAAUCUGAAGGAAGUCUAAGGCAAAGUGCUGCAUCGAUGAACAAGAAGUAGCUAUAAGGCUGAAAUUAACUGGAUAAGGUUGCUAGACAAGUUGAAGUCCAAUACUACUCGAAGUUGGUCUCAGUAAAGCUAACGAUGACAUGGUACGAAAGCUAAU
rnacentral:ncRNA from 1 species